UCGAGCACGCGCGUGUGGCAUAUCAAUAAGCGGAGGAAAAGAAACUAACAAGGAUUCCCUUAGUAACGGCGAGUGAAGCGGGAAGAGCUCAAAUUUGAAAUCUUCAAGGUUCUACCUUGACGAAUUGUAGUUUAUAGAAGUGUUUUCUGUUAGUAGAGUGGCAAAAGUUCUUUGGAAUAGGACAUCAUAGAGGGUGAGAAUCCCGUAUUUGGUCAUUCCUUCCUAGCGUUGUGAUACACUUUCAACGAGUCGGAUUGUUUGGGAAUGCAGUCCAAAAUGGGUGGUAAAUUUCAUCUAAAGCUAAAUAUUGGCGAGAGACCGAUAGCGAACAAGUACCGUGAGGGAAAGAUGAAAAGAACUUUGAAAAGAGAGUUAAACAGUACGUGAAAUUGUCAAAAGGGAAGCGUUUGACACCAGUGUUGUUUUUCCGAAAAUCAAUUACGAAUGUUUUGUUUUUGAGGAGUUAUGACUUCAUCGGCUUGCUCCUUUCUUUACGAAACUUUCUUAAUGCACUUUUCGGUUAACAAGUCAACAUCAAUUUCUUUUGUUGUAAAAGGGUAUGAGGAAGGUGGCUUUCUUUUCGGAGAAAGUGUCUAUAGCCUUGUGCCUCUACAAUCGGAGAGAUUGAGGUCUGCAGCGUAGAUCCUUCGGGGUUAGAUACGUUUGUGCUAAGUUAUAGCUUUUCAUAGACAACUUGUUGACUAUGUUUAGUCUUGUAGCUUACUCGCUGACGCUAUUUUACCUACGCUUAGGAUGUUGAUGUGAUACUGCGAGCA
rnacentral:rRNA from 1 species